AUUGAACGCUGGCGGCAUGCCUUACACAUGCAAGUCGAACGGUAACGCGGGGCAACCUGGCGACGAGUGGCGAACGGGUGAGUAAUGUAUCGGAACGUGCCCAGUUGUGGGGAUAACUGCUCGAAAGAGCAGCUAAUACCGCAUACGACCUGAGGGUGAAAGCGGGGGAUCGCAAGACCUCGCGCAAUUGGAGCGGCCGAUAUCAGAUUAGGUAGUUGGUGGGGUAAAGACCCACCAAGCCAACGAUCUGUAGCUGGUCUGAGAGGACGACCAGCCACACUGGGACUGAGACACGGCCCCAGACUCCUACGGGAGGCAGCAGUGGGGAAUUUUGGACAAUGGACGCAAGUCUGAUCCAGCCAUGCCGCGUGCGGGAAGAAGGCCCUUCGGGUUGUAAAACCGCUUUUUGUCAGGGAAGAAACGCUCUGGGUUAAUACCUCGGGGUAAUGACGGUACCUGAAGAAUAAGCACCGGCUAACUACGUGCCAGCAGCCGCGGUAAUACGUAGGGUGCAAGCGUUAAUCGGAAUUACUGGGCGUAAAGCGUGCGCAGGCGGUUAUGCAAGACAGAGGUG
rnacentral:rRNA from 1 species